CUCUCGAGUCCAUCUUCCCCUCCCAUGAAUCCCAUGCUCCGCCAAGCAGGCAAGGUCGCCGCCGCUUCUGCUCUUUGGCGUCCGCGCAACGCCAGCACCACUCCAAAAUUCGCGUUGCGCAAAAUUAAGCAUACCGUACCCUAGCUCUUCCCCUCCCAUGAAUCCCAUGCGCCGCCAAGCCCUUCCCUACCCUGCGCCCCUCCUCUGCCGCGCAACCCGUCGCCACCACACCCAACUCCGGUGAAUCGAGCCGCCUCAGUCAGAUUCCUUGCUCCCGAAGCACCAGCUCACCUCUCGAAAUCCGUUCAGAUGACCGGUUGCUCAAUGCGUCUACCACAAUUCUUCAAUUUUGGUGUCCAAUUCGACUCUUCGGACCUUUGUCUGAAGAUCGUGUCCCCGUCGGUAUGCUACUGUCAAAUGUAUUCCUUCUUUCAUCUCAUAUACGUCUUAGACAUGACCGUACGCCUAAUUAUAUGUGUUUGCUGAGCGUUCGCGAAUCCAUGCUGGCAUCCAUGGACAUGGCCAUGGCAUUCUCAAGUUCGGGUGAAAUCAUCAGUCUCACAAUGUCCAACUGGUCCAAGAGUCCAUAAUAGAAGACGGACAAUUUUGCUGAGCUGAGCUCUUUUCCUCAGUUAAAGGUGACGACUAGAGUGCAUGUUUGCUGGAGUAUUAUGCAGCUUCAGUUGGACAAUAUUAGAUGAUGCGUGGAACAAAUAAAAAAUAACAAAAUAAGAAGCUAAAUACGUCAUCUUGCAAGUAUAUGAUUCUGGCAAAAGUAUUGCUUGACUGUUUUAGUUUGUCAAACAAACAACUGGACAACAAUUUGGAGUUACUCAACUGUUUCAGUUUGUCAAAAAACAAACAACUGGACAGCUCUCGGAACUACAAUCUUCAGAGAUGCAGAAAAUAGUAACCUAGGCAAAAUAAUGGCCUGCACCAUAUCAAGCAACGGUUGAUGGAGCUUCACCACUAGUUGCCUUUUAAGCUGUCCAUAUAGAUCGGGGGUGAAGAAUCUGAAGUUGCAAGCAAUAAGGAGUACCGGCUGCACCUCAAGAAGAAUGUGGAAAAUGAUGCGAGUUAGGCUCAUUUGAAGGAGUUGUUAUCAGGUAAAGGUUCUAGGAACUAGUGGCUGGGAGAUGGUACUUGCAUUUGGUGGGUUGGAUAUGGAAAUCUUUUGUUUGCUGGGAGUUGAUUCGUGAUAAACUAUAGUGUGCUGGAAGAUAGUUCAUACAUGUGAUAGUUGAUAUGUAUAAACUUCUUGGUGCUAUGUUAUACUGGAGCAGUAUAUUGUACUGUGCUGAAUAAAAUGUAUUGGGCUGAAUGUAUGAGGUAUUGUGCUGAAUGAAGUGUAUUGGACUGAAUGUAUGCUGCAUUGUGCUGAA